UGGUGUGCCUUCGGGAACUGUCAGACAGGUGCUGCAUGGCUGUCGUCAGCUCGUGUUGUGAAAUGUUGGGUUAAGUCCCGUAACGAGCGCAACCCUUGUCCUUAUUUGCCAGCGGGUAAUGCCGGGAACUCUAAGGAGACUGCCGGUGACAAACCGGAGGAAGGUGGGGACGACGUCAAGUCAUCAUGGCCCAUACGGGUAGGGCUACACACGUGCUACAAUGGCCGGUACAAAGGGCAGCGAGCUCGCGAGAGUCAGCGAAUCCCUUAAAGCCGGUCUCAGUCCGGAUCGGAGUCUGCAACUCGACUCCGUGAAGUCGGAAUCGCUAGUAAUCGUGAAUCAGAAUGUCACGGUGAAUACGUUCCCGGGCCUUGUACACACCGCCCGUCACACCAUGGGAGUGGACUGCACCAGAAGUGGUUAGCCUAACGCAAGAGGGCGAUCACCACGGUGUGGUUCAUGACUGGGGUGAAGUCGUAACAAGGUAGCCGUAGGGGAACCUGCGGCUGGAUCACCUCCUUA
rnacentral:rRNA from 1 species